UUGAACGCUGGCGGCAUGCCUUACACAUGCAAGUCGAACGGCAGCACGGGUGCUUGCACCUGGUGGCGAGUGGCGAACGGGUGAGUAAUACAUCGGAACAUGUCCUGUAGUGGGGGGUAGCCCGGCGAAAGCCGGAUUAAUACCGCAUACGAUCUACGGAUGAAAGCGGGGGACCUUCGGGCCUCGCGCUAUAGGGUUGGCCGAUGGCUGAUUAGCUAGUUGGUGGGGUAAAGGCCUACCAAGGCGACGAUCAGUAGCUGGUCUGAGAGGACGACCAGCCACACUGGGACUGAGACACGGCCCAGACUCCUACGGGAGGCAGCAGUGGGGAAUUUUGGACAAUGGGCGAAAGCCUGAUCCAGCAAUGCCGCGUGUGUGAAGAAGGCCUUCGGGUUGUAAAGCACUUUUGUCCGGAAAGAAAUCCUUGGCUCUAAUACAGUCGGGGGAUGACGGUACCGGAAGAAUAAGCACCGGCUAACUACGUG
rnacentral:rRNA from 1 species